AACGAACGCUGGCGGCAUGCCUAACACAUGCAAGUCGAACGAGACCUUCGGGUCUAGUGGCGCACGGGUGCGUAACGCGUGGGAACCUGCCCUUAGGUUCGGAAUAACUCCCCGAAAGGGGUGCUAAUACCGGAUAAUGUCUUCGGACCAAAGAUUUAUCGCCUUUGGAUGGGCCCGCGUUGGAUUAGCUAGUUGGUAGGGUAAAAGCCUACCAAGGCGACGAUCCAUAGCUGGUCUGAGAGGAUGAUCAGCCACACUGGGACUGAGACACGGCCCAGACUCCUACGGGAAGCAGCAGUGGGGAAUAUUGGAUAAUGGGCGAAAGCCUGAUCCAGCAAUGCCGCGUGAGUGAUGAAGGCCUUAGGGUUGUAAAGCUCUUUUACCCGGGAUGAUAAUGACAGUACCGGGAGAAUAAGCUCCGGCUAACUCCGUG
rnacentral:rRNA from 1 species